UCGCGGUUUGCACCGGCAGUCUGGUUAGAGUCCCCAUCUUUACAUGCUGGUAACUAACCACAGGGGUUGCGCUCGUUAUAGGACUUAACCUGACACCUCACGGCACGAGCUGACGACAACCAUGCAGCACCUUGCAAUCAGUCCGAAGAAAUACUUGUUUCCAAAUACGUCCGAUUACAUUUAAGCCUUGGUAAGGUUCCUCGCGUAUCAUCGAAUUAAACCACAUGCUCCACCGCUUGUGCGGGCCCCCGUCAAUUCCUUUGAGUUUCAUUCUUGCGAACGUACUCCCCAGGUGGGAUACUUAUCACUUUCGCUUAACCACUGAGACUUGCAUCCCAACAGCUAGUAUCCAUCGUUUACGGCGUGGACUAC
rnacentral:misc_RNA from 1 species